GUGGGGAAUAUUGGACAAUGGGCGCAAGCCUGAUCCAGCCAUGCCGCGUGAGUGAUGAAGGCCCUAGGGUUGUAAAGCUCUUUCACCGGAGAAGAUAAUGACGGUAUCCGGAGAAGAAGCCCCGGCUAACUUCGUGCCAGCAGCCGCGGUAAUACGAAGGGGGCUAGCGUUGUUCGGAAUUACUGGGCGUAAAGCGCACGUAGGCGGACAUUUAAGUCAGGGGUGAAAUCCCGGGGCUCAACCCCGGAACUGCCUUUGAUACUGGGUGUCUGGAGUAUGGAAGAGGUAAGUGGAAUUCCGAGUGUAGAGGUGAAAUUCUUAUAUAUUCGGAGGAACACCAGUGGCGAAGGCGGCUUACUGGUCCAUUACUGACGCUGAGGUGCGAAAGCGUGGGGAGCAAACAGGAUUAGAAACCCUGGUAGUCC
rnacentral:rRNA from 1 species